rnacentral:rRNA from 1 species
GCAAGUCGGACGGUAGCAGGUACUUCGGUAUGCUGACGAGUGGCGGACGGGUGAGUAACGCGUAGGAAUCUACCUAUAAGAGGGGGAUACCGACUGGAAACGGUCGUUAAUACCGCAUAAUACCUUCGGGUUAAAGGUGGCCUUUGUGCUGUCGCUUAUGGAUGAGCCUGCGUUGGAUUAGUUUGUUGGUGGGGUAAAGGCCUACCAAGACUGCGAUCCAUAGCUGAUUUGAGAGGAUGAUC